ensembl:lncRNA
CCCUGUCACAGAGGCUUGAAGGACACAGAUCAAUCAAACUUUCAGAGAAAGCUUUCCAAAAAUUUUAACCAUGAUUUCAGCUAUGUCCCAAUCUUACAAAACAAGAAGCACAAUGCAGUGUGGAGGCAAGGAAUAGGAAAAGUCAAUGGUGGUGGGAUUUGCUGUGUGAGAAGACACACACACACACACACACACACACACACACACACACACACACACACAAAUAAAAGAGGAAGGAAGAUGGGGGCACAGGAGUUGUGGGUGAUGAGGGAAACAGGUUUGAAUUGUGGAUUGCUACUACCAUGGCUGGCCACACACAUUCAUUCUCUGGAGUAAUCAUGAAAUGUAGAGAGAAAAUGCAAAGCAAGGAAGGAUAAACACUUUGGUGGAAAAGGACAUUUAAUAGGAAGAAAUGUCUAUAAAGGGGUUUAAAAAUAACUUUUCCUUCUCGAAAAUCUGCUGUUUCUUUACAGAUCUCAGCUCAGAGCAAGGUUCCCUUUGUCCUGGACUUCUCUGUUUUCUGAACUCAAGAUUAAACACACACACACACACACACACACACACACACACACACACACACACACACACACACACCUUGGAAGCAAUUAAUAAGCAGCUUGUAUAACACCCACAUGAUGAGCACUGUCCAGUAGCAGCUAAAUUCAGUGAAGUAGACGAAUGUAUUAACAAGGAAAACAAAGUUCCAAAAUGUUUAAUGGGAAAAAAAUCCUUCAGGAUGAUGCAAAAUUCCAGAAACAUAUCAUGCAUUGAAAGAUUAAAAUCCAGAGUUAAUAAUUUUCAUGAAAAAUCGUAAAUAGCAAAUGCAUGAUAUAGAGUAUCUUUAGGGAGAUAGUAAGGAGAACACAACUGGGUUGAGGUGUGUGGAAGAGAAGACAUUUCUGUUUGUAGUUUUGUGUUACUGCCUUUCUUCUCUGUUAGAAACAGAAAAUUUCCCAGCAUUCUAAAAGGACUCAUGGCUACCUAAAGAUGUAAUUAUUUUUUCCAGCUUCCCUUGCAGCUAUGCAUGGUCCAGGACUAAAUCCUUGCCAAGGUAAUGCAAUGAAAAUGUUCCAUUUCUUUAGAGGAAACUUGUUUUAGUUCUCUAUCCCUUCUCCCAUGUGCUAGAAUAUGGAUGAACUGCUAGUAGUCCAGCCUCAACUCUCAGCCCACAAAUGUUAUCCAAACGGAAUUUAAGAGUCUAGUUUAUAUUCCCAUGGUUUGUCUCUCUCAUCAAUUCACUCAGCAAGUAAUUACUGAACACAUACUAUGUACGGCAACCUAAGUGAGGUAUUAGGGACAUGGUGGUAAGGAAGCUCCUGAUGGAGCAUGUGUUUGAUCCUAAAAUCUCUGCACUUGAACUUGCUCAUGAGCAGCCUCUGUGUCCCUUCCGUGUGUGUGUGUGUGUGUGUGUGUGUGUGUGUGUGUGUGUGUGUGUUCAUGUGUGUGGGGUGAGUAUGCAUGCAUGUAUGCAGGUGUGUAGGCACACAGCAUGUGGGUAUGAGUGCCUGUAGGUGCACAUAUAUGUGGAGGUUGAUUCUAAAAUCAUCCUCAAUUGCACUUCUACCUUAUUCAAUGAGAAGCAGGAUAGCUCAGACCGACCCAGAGCUCACCAAAGCAGCUGGUUUCACUAGCCUGCUUCCUCCUGGGAUUCCUUGUCUCAGAGUUUUACCUUGUGAGGUUGGAAUUACAGGCAGCUGCCCCACCUAUCUGGUAUUUAUAUGGGCUCUGGGAAUCCCAACUCCAGUCCUCACACUUGGAAGGACUUAACUACCGAGCUUUCCCCAGCCCAGUUUCUAUUUUUAUUCUAAACUUAACUCGUGUUGAAAGAACACUGCCCAGGGGCACUGAUUUCCACUGAUUCAACCCAAUUAAAACAAUUCAGACUGAGUUUUUGAGGAGGACUUUUGGGAGUUUUUUUUUUUUUUUCAAGAGUUUUAAAGUUUGUUCUGAUUCUUUAAGAAGGUAUUUGAUUAUUAAGAAAUACGUAACACACAAAAGUGAGUAAAAGUCGUCUGAAUGGAGAAGAAUAAGAAAAAUGAGCAGUAAAGAGUCUAUGAAAGAGUGAGAAGUGACCGGUUACGAGAGACUUAUCAGGUAGUAUACAUCUCUCAAGUACCACCCCAGCCAUCGAUACUGUUGGGUGCAUGAUUUGAUUUAUGUGGUAGUAACCAAUUAAUUUUUACUGUUAUAUUUUAUUUUAAUCAGGUGAACAUUGUCGUAGGGUUUCUGUUGUGGUGAUAAAUACCAUGACUGGAAGCAACCCUGGGGAAAAGGUGUUGUUUCAGCUUCCAUGUCUUGAUCACACUCUCACUAAGACAAGCCAGUGCAGGAACUCAAGGCAGGUACCUGGAGGCGGGAGCUAAAGCCAUGAAGGAGUGCUGCUUACUGGCUUGCUGCUCAUAGCUUACCCAGUCUAUCUACUUUCUUACACAACUCAGGAUGACCAGCCUAGGAAUGACACCACCCGCAGUAGGCUGGACCAUUCCACAUCAAUCAUCCAUCAAGAAAACAUGUCACAGACUUGCCUACAGGCCACUAUUACAGAGGGAGGCAUUUUCUUAACUGAGGUUUGCUCUUUCUCACAUAACUGGCUUGUGCCGAGUUGACAUAAAACUAGCUGGCAAAAAUAUAUUGCAGUUUGUUUAUUUCUCUGCAGAGGGUCAGUGAGGUCAUUUUCUGUUGACGGCUGUGAAGAGCAAUCUUGUGAAAGAUCAUUUCCCUUGCAGGUUAGAGUUUCUCCCAGGUAUUUAGGAAGUGCUUAGGAAUAGAGUCCUAGGGGUGUGGGGCCUGUCUGCCCAAUCCUGCUUCCUAACAAACGUCAAGCUAACUCUGGCCAGGUGGUUGGAUGUCUUUAGAUUGUCACCAGCAGUGUGUAAGAGUCAACACUUUGACUUUGCUGAAAUUGUAAUGUUUCCAUUUAAAUGUUCAUGGACUACUUUCUUAUUGUGGUUCUAAUUUAUGGUUUUGUAUCCCCCCUUUUCUUUUUUUCUGAUCACCUUAAGGUUAGGCAGCUUUGCACAUAAACUGGGUCAUUUGUGGUACCUUAUCUAUGAGAUGCCCGUGUUUUCCCUUUUCAAAGUCGUGUGUGGGGGAGCAUGUGUGUGUGAAGUGCGAUUUUUGUGUCCACUUUCCCUUUUCAAUUCUGGGAUUUUGUCUGGUUUGAACCUGUGUUUGGGUCUUGUGUGUGCUGUCAGUCUCCAUGAGGGGAUAGGUACAUCAGGCCUAUUGUGUCUGGAAGCCAAAGUCAGUUUUUAUUUUAAUAUGAUGACAUGUCUUUAUAUUAUGGGGUUUAUUGUUAGGGAAAAUCUCUGUACUUUGAGGUUUAAAAGCAUUCUAUAUCUUAUCCUACAGUUUCCAUGAUUUGACCUUUCGAAUUUGUCUUACAUCUAAAAGCAGUAACUGAUUUUUAUAUACAAUAAGGGUUAAUCAUUAAACCUAUUUAUUGUCUUGUAGAUAACCAAUUAUGUUCUUCAGAACAGUAGGGCAGGGAGCAGGGAGAACAAGGCUGAACUGUCAUGACCCCUCCUACUGAUCUCUAAUUCCUGCUUCAGAUUUUUUGAAUGAGAUUAUUUUAGAGUUCAAAUUUGUUCAUUACUCAUCUUAUAUAAUGCCAAUAAUACACUGUCCCUUUAUAGGGAAGUGCUUAGGAAUAGAGCAGGCCCAUCUCUCCAAUUUUAUCCUCCAAAGGUCAUGACAUGCAUCCUAUAGGCUCAGGCCAGCACCUACUUCACACUUGCCACAGGUCUGGGCCUGGUGUCUUCCCAGCAAGUGAGCUGUGUUCUCAGCCCUGAGCUUCUUCAGCCAAAACAGGCAAAGCAUCAGCUCUUUCUCUACCUGUUUUUCUACUCAGGGCACUGGUUAGGGAUCGUCAAUCUGACACAAUGCUCAGGGUGCUGGUUAGGGAUUGUCAACCUGACACAAUGCUCAGGGCACUGGUUAGGGGUUGUCAACCUGAUACAAUACUAAGCUGCUGGUUAGGGGUUGUCAACUGACACAAUGCUCAGGGUGCUGGUUAGGGAUGGUCAACCUGACACAAUGCUCAGGUUCUGGUUAGGGGCUGUCAACCUGACACAAUGCUCAGGGUGCUGGUUAGGGGCUGUUCAACCUGACACAGGCUAAAGUCACAUGGGAAGAGAGGCCCUCAAUUGAGCCACUGCCCAGAUGGUAAGUCUUUGAGAAAUUGUAUUGGUUGAUAACUGAUGUGGGAGGGGCCCUGGCCACUGUGGGAAGCACCAGUCUUACAUAGGUAGUCUGGGCUAUAGAAGGAAGCUAGCUGAGCAUGGGCCAGAGAGUAAGCCAUCCAGUGGUGCUCCUCCAUGGUUUCUGUCUUCUGGGUCCUUGAGUCCUGCCUUGAUGUCCCUCAGUGACAGACAGUGACCUGGAAGUGUAAGACCUCCAGACAUCUAUGGUUAACUAGUGGCUAGCUCUACCCUGUGAUCUCCAGGCAAGCUUUAUUUGUCAGAACACGAAACACCACAACAAUAAGGAGGAAAGAUCUUGCUUCUUGGUAUUUAUGCCGAAGUACAUAAAGAAUGCUGGGGAGCCCUCGUUCUCAAAAACUAAGCAGGCUUUUAGCUGUUGGGAUCCCAUAAAACUCAAAAGGACAAAUAUGACCUACACUUGUUUUGCUGAAGCCAAUUUUCACAACCUGGUAUUUAAGUUGAGCUCAGGGACAUUUGAGUAAUCCCACAGGCUCUCUGGGCUCUGGUAUUCAUCUGCAUCUUAGUUUUCUGCUUGGGGAUUUUGGAUCACAACUGCCAACCUGGGAAAACCACAUCACUUACACGAGAUUAAGCAGUCCCUAAUUAGUUUUCCUGACCCUCUUGUAUACCAAUAAAUGGCCCAUUUACAGGACAUUAAAACAGAAUUCUUUCCAUUAAAAAUGACUUCCUUGCUAGUGAACAAGACCUAGGUUUAACACACAUGUUAGUUAACAUGAGGUUGUCCUAAUGUACAGUGGACACUUUCCAGUGGGAAGUGAUUGGAGGACUAAUUAGGAUUCUUGGCUCGGUCAAUUAACUGGGAGGGGAGUCUCUCUACGGUGAUGUAAAUAUUGCUUAUAUUCUUAGUUUGUUUUGGGCCUAUUACGUUUUGAACCAAAGAGCUAGAGACUGAAGUGAAAUCCUAUUACAAGCUUUGGAAAAUGAUGAGCCUAAAAAGGCAUUUUAUAUGACAUCAUCAGGUCAGUUUUAAAGUUUUAUUUAGAUAUGCAAAUGCAGUAGCCACUUCUUUUGGAUUCUGACGCACACCUCAUCCUAUCGAAAGCACUGUGAGUCCCUUGGUGUGCAUAGUAGGCAUCUCAUGAUUAGUCUAGGGAACUGCACUAUUUUGAGGGGUGAUUGCUGUUUAUAGCACUAAGUCUGUUUUGCCUAAGAAAGCCAAUUACAGAACAGUGAGAACAUAUGUAGAGAAGAAAGAGCUUAGCUAGGAGGGCGAAUCUCCACUUCCCCUUCCUAAGGGUGUUUGUGGGGUAAAGAAAAAGGGUGGUAUGGGCAUUGAGAAAGGUAUUUACAAGUGAGAGAAAGCAAGAUUUGAUGUCAGCCGGGGGAGGGGGGUGGUAUCUGUGGCACCUUUCUAUACCCGUGCUUUGAAAUGCCCCAGCUAAGCACAUUUUAUAGAUGACUGUUUGCUCUUCAGCAUCCAAACACUGUCACUGGACAUUUGCACAGGCCUGGGUGGUGGAUUUUUGGUUUCAAAUCAGGUUGGAACUCCCUUUGAGUUCCUGAAAGCAAUUAAGCAGCCGUGAUGAUUUCGACCCAGACACUUGGGAGUCAUUUCCAGGUGGGUGAGUGGCCUUGUUUUGUGGCUGCCAUUCCUAGCCAGAUUUCCACACCAGCAGGUCAUAAGUCAAUAUGAGUUACAGUAAAGGAUGGGGGAGGUGACUCUGAAGACUCUCGGGAACCCGGGUUCCUGACCAGGAAAAGAAGGAUGCCCCGAAGGAAGGGGAUUCCUUGUCUUUGGUGUGCUGUGGGAACUUAAAUAGGCACCCGUAGCCAUGACUUUGACCUGAGGUGUCCCAAGAAAGCAAAACACCAGUUUGGUUUCUACAUAGGGAAACUAGAAUAGGUGAGUGAAGAAAGAGAUACAAAUUUCAAUAUGACCAUAGGACCAAUUCAAGCAGUUGGCUCUCUGCAAUAUUUUGAACACGAAAUACCCUCAAAGUCAUACACACACAGGCAUGUGUUGCUGUUUGAUUCCAGCUGGUGGCACUAUUUAUGAUGGUGAUGGAAAUGAUAGGCUACAGGGCCAACCUGGCUGAGACAGGCCACUGGAGCAGUGUCCACAGACCCUUGCUUGACCUCGCCUGGCUGCUCUAAGUUGGGAGAACCGCUAUCACUAUCUGUUCUCUUGCCAUGGUGUUCUGCCCAAGCGUCUAGGACCAGGUGAGCUGGAUCUGAACCCUGUGAAACUGUGAGCUGAAAUGUGUCUUUCCUCUCUUAGAUCAUCCCCUUUGGGUGUCCAGGUCACAGCAAGUGAUAACUCCUUUCUGUGUUCCAGAAAAAGAAACAGGUAGGAUCUUGUGAGACUGGACAAGUAGCUCUCCUGUGGAGAAGAUUUGAAGGUAUCUUAAUAAUAUAAGAGAGCUUUCUAAUGUUGGUGGGCUAGAACAUAGCUGCACAGCACUGGGUACACUUUGUAAGACUCAGAAACUCUGUUCUGGUGACCUAUAAAUAAAGUACUCUAGAGGUGGGAUCAGAAAUUCAAGGUUAUUUUCAGUCACACAAUGAGUUUGAGGCCAGCUUGGGAUCACAAGGCAUGUUCUAAGGAAAAACAAAACAGCACAAAGGAGAAAGGAAGAAGGAAAGAAAGAUUGAAGAUGGCUCUAUCUUCUACAAAGAGAUACUUUACAGACAACAUCUAUAGAAACUCAGUCAAUCCUUUACCUGUUUUCUCCAUCUGUAGCCAAACCAAGAACCUCUUCCCUGCAAUAGAUCAGUGGUACUCUGGUGUAGUCUAGUCAAGAUCCAGACGACCCCGAGCUCUGAGUUAUUAUUGUCCUUCCGUGAUUGCUCUGCUGGCAGGGGUGUGUUCACUGGAAAGUGAUCUUUCCAGUCAUGCAUGGCACAUGCAUUCUGUGCUCCCUUGAGUAGCAGCAUCACAGCCCUGAUUGUGGUUUGGUGUGUGGUCCAUGAAUCACACUUUGUGCUUGGACAACAGAAGCACAACCCCCUUCUGGAGCCCAGCAGAGAGAACCAGCUGUUCAAACUCUGGCCCUGUCAAGGGGCAGAAACUGCUCCAGGUUCACUCCUGGUGAAUGUUGCUUUGUUUCCAGAGUAAACUCAGCCCACCACUGUGUAUUUCCAAACAGUAGUAGAAGAAGGGCUCCAUCUCCUCCAUCUUCCCAGACCUACAGGAGCUCAGUUUCAAUAUUCAGCUUCAUGCUCAACUGGCACAGAUUGGCAAGCCAUGCCUGAAAGUCACCAUCAUCUUUGGGUUUUGCCAUAGUUAUUAUGUAUUUUUCCUCCAAGUUGUGUGCAUGCCCUUCAGGUUGCUUUCCUUCCAGCAGUCUAUAGAGAGGCUGCAGAUAAGGUUUCUGUGUGCCUCCCCACUCAUCACAACAUUUUCCAUCCGUCCUGAUUCAGUUCUAAGCCUCUCUUGAUUAAAGGAUCUUUGUUGUACUCUUAAGUUUUUUGAUUAAAAUGGAAUUAAAUUGUAAAUCAAUUCCACUAUUUUCCCCAAUGUCUUUCAUCUCUCCAGCUCUUUCCAUAUGAACAUCCCAUCACAUGCUGCCUAAUUCAUGGCCUAUCUAUCUAUCUAUCUAUCUAUCUAUCUAUCUAUCUAUCAUCUCCUGCUCAACCACAAGGACAUGUUUAAAGAAAGCAACAGCAAUAACCAACCAACCCUCUGACCACUGAGUAGACUUGAAGUUAUAGGAUGUUGCUAUGAUGAUGGUUACUCUGAUAGACAGGAUUAUAUAUUAGCCUAUGCCUGCUUGAGUUGUUCUGUACCAACCCAAUUCUCACCUUCUGUCUUUCUUUCUGGACAGAGAAACCCCCAAAAUAUCCCAGCUGGUCACAAGCCUCUACCAUAGACAGUCUCUUGGUCGAAUGAUGCUUCCAAUUGGAUUAGUCUCAUCAGGAGCAAGGAUGUGUGUCCUGGGACCCAAGUUUCAAAGCAUCUACAUGGUGAGAACCAAUGCUAUGUGGGGGACUUUGGUUUUCAAGCUGUUCGGGAAAGGAGUUGCUGCUGAAAAGGAGAUUCUCAUCUCAUUCAGUCACAUGAAGUCUGUUCUGGAAGUCAGGCUUAUAUCUCUUUACAGAAUAAUGCAGUAGACAAGAUGAAUGCUCUAUUGGUGUAAAGCAGGCCCCUGAACAUGGGAGUACACAGGUUGGAGAAUGUGACAUUUCAAUGUUCUUCUGAUGUUCCUGUGUGGCAGAAGAGCGCCAUUGUUUCUCUCUGUGUUAAAGAUGUCCUUAUCCAUUCAUUCAGUCUGCUACAACAAAACCCUGGAGGCAGGAGCCUUCUAACCUAUGGACUCUCAUUUCUUACAGCCCCUGUAGGCAGAAGGUUAAUGAAAUCCCACAAGGAUGCACCAUAAAUAUACACAGUAAAUAUCAUUUUAUACACCCCAGUAUAGGCCAUAUACUUAUUUUCUGGAGAGCAGUGAAAGGUAAGUACAAAAGGCUCCAGACAAACACGAAUUCUGAGCUCAUGUGAGGUUGAAGCCAAAUCACUCGGGUCAAAGGGACAGUCUACAGAGGAAGGUAGAAGAACAAGUCUAACUGGGCCAAUGCUGACUCACAGAGGGUCCUGUGGGUUCAUGCAGCCAAGCUGGGGUCACCUGUCGAGUCUCCUGAAAGUAUAUCUGAGAUGGAUAGAUAGGCUAUAAUGUUGGCAGAGGCCCAUUGUUGGUUCUGUGACCUGUGGUGUAGAAUCUAUUAGGAUAGGAAGGACGCUUCGGGAAUUUGUGUAUCUGCCCCCAUCGUUUAGCUAAUAGAGUGAGUCAGCAGGAAUGUUCUAUCCCCAAACGAAUCACAGAGACUGGCACUUGUAUUAGCUACUUUUUCUUGUUGAUGUUUCAAGAUCCCUGACUGAAGCAAUUCAGGAACGAUCCAUUGAGGUAAAAGGGAUACAGUUUGUUAUGGUGGGGGAAGAAUACAGCUGGAGAAUGGGGUAGUUAUUCCUAUUGUUUCUACAGUCACUAAGCAGAGAGAGGUGAAUUCUUGCUUUCUCCUUCUUCCCUUUUUAUUCACUUCAGGAUGCCAGCCCAUUGGAUGAUACCACUAUGCACAGGGUGGGUCUUCCCGCCAAAGUAAAUCUCUGUAGAAAUGACAACCAGACAACUCAAAGAUGUCUCUGCUAGGUUAUUUUAAAUGCAGUUGGCUGACAAUGAAGGUAUGCAUUACACUAAACUUAAGGGCGUGAAGGCAGUCUCCUCGUGUCUCCACUCUCCCCCUGUUCUGCUUGCCCCUUCACCCUCUGCAGAUAGAGGACACAAGAGGAUCACUGCACAUUUAAUAUCCCCGUGCCUGUGUACAUGACAUAUACAGACGGUCUCCAAGCCAGAAGCCACUGGGUUUGUACACUGCACCAGAGACUGGAGACAGUGAGAAUAAUACUAGGAAAAUGAGGAAAGAUCAUCUGGGGUAGAUGUUCGAGAGGGGCACAGGUGACCAAGUGUUUGUUUCACACGUGGGAGGCCACCAGAAACCAUCUGCUUCUGCAGAAGCCACAAGAACCCAGGUGGGUGUGUGGCUUUGUUUUAUCUUUGUUUUUGCUUUUUGGGUUUUUUGAGACAGGGUUUCUCUGUGGCUUUGGAGGCUAUCCUGGAAAUAGCUCUUAUAGACCAGGCUGGUCUCGAGCUCACAGAGAUCUGCCUGCCUCUGCCUCCCGAGUGCUGGGAUUAAAGGUGUGCGCCACCACCACCCAGCAAAAAACUGUUAGUGCUCUCAUUUCUAGCUGGAUUUCCACACCAGAAGGUCAUCAGGGAAGAUGUGUUACAGUAAAGACUGGGGGAGGUGACUCUGCAGACUCUCAGGAACCUGGGUUCCUGACCAAGAAAAGAAGGAUGUCUCGAAGGAAGGGGAUUCCUUGUCUUCACUUGGGCCUUUGGUGUACUGUGGGAAUUUAAGCUGGCUAUUGUAGGCACCAUCUUGGCAAGUGACUGGAGACCUUCCCAAGGGCACGAUAGACCUCUUGAGGGCAGAAACACCAUCAGUCAGAUUUCUGCAUAGGGCAAUUAAAAUGGGUAAGUGAGGAAAGGGAUUUGUAUUUCAAUAUAUCCAAAGGACAUGUUAAAGAAGUUGGACCUCUGAAACAUUUUGAACAUCAAAUAGUCCCACAGGCAUACACACAGUCGCGUGUUGCUGUUUCGUCCAGGCUGGUGGCAGCAUUUUUGGUAGUAAUGGAUACUUUGGGAGGUGGGGCCGAGACAGGCCACUGGAGUGGGGGCCACAGACCAAUGUUUGCUCUGCCCUCAUUCCUGUCUGCUGUAAGGCUGCUGGGAAGCUCAAUCUCUACCUACUUCUAUUGAUGCAGUGUCUGUCCAAGCUUCUACACCAGGUGAGCAGGAUUUGAACCCUGUGAAACUGUCACCUAAAACAUCUUUCCACUCCUAGACAAUCCUCCCAGGUGUCUGGUUCGUAGCUAUAAACCCCUUUCUAAGUUGCAGAAGAAGAAACAGGCAGGAUCUCGAGAGACUGGACAAGCAGCUCUCCUCUGGAGAAGAUAUGAGGAUAUCUUAAUCAUAUAACUGUAACGAUAAGUCUUUACUCCAUCCGCCCAAGCCCCGCCACCACGUGGGCGCCCAGAAUAACACACAGAGUCUUAUACUAGUUUACAACGCUGCUGGCCAAUUGACUAGGAUUUCUUACUUGCUAGCUCAGUCUUAAGUUUCAACCAUAAAAACUCAUCUUAUCGGACACCAGCUGCAGGUGUCUUCUCUUGCAGGGAUCACAUGGUGGCUCCAUAGAGAAGAGAGCAGGAGGAAGAGGAAGAGCAAGAGAGAGCUAUUUCCUGUUUAUAUUCUGAGUCUGACUGCUAUGUCACUUCCUGCUUGGAUCUUUACUACAUUUCCCAGAAUCCUCCUUGACACCUAGUCCCACCUAUCUUGCUUUCCUAUUGGCCAACAGUACUUUAUCAACCAAUGAGAGAAUCAUAUACACAGAAGGACCUCCCCCAUCAUGUAACAGAGCCUUUUAUUGUUGGUGGGCUUGAAUAUAACUGAGUAGCACUGAGUAUGCUUUAUUAGACACAGUUCAUGUGCCAUCCCACACCAGCUUGUCUCUCUGGCCUCUACAUAGGAUGCUCACCCAUUUUUCUCAUUUUACAUCUCUGUUGGACCUAGCAAGUGCCUCCUGCAUGCUGGCCUCUGGUCUUAGCACGUCACCCAUCUCCUCACACUUCCAGGUGUUUUUAAUAUUUCCCAGAGGUAUAGUUCUGGGCAUCAGAAUUCCAUAAAACCACAGAAGCUCAGUGCUGAUGGCAAGUAUGAGUGGGGAGUUAAUGCCAUCUUCUCCAUUGGCUACUGAGUGGGGACAGGAAGCCAGGAGGGACAUGUGGGCUUCACUCUACUAAUGAGAGACAAUGGGCACUUUGUCCAGAUAUGCAUCUUCUGUCUUUUUGCCAGCAGAACAUCCACUCUGUCUUGAUAGGAGCCAUUGCCUGGGCUUCCUUGCAAAGCUGGUGUCAGCUCAGUAACAGAUGCUCUUAGGCUUCAUUUCUCCCCUCCCUGCCUCAGUUUUAUUCCCACUCUUUUCUGGGUAAGGUGUUAGAACUUACACGUUACAUUAAACUCUGAGUUCUCAGAACACCUUGGCUAAGGUGCCAUGACUGAGUCAUGUUGAAGGUUGACUAUGGGUUGAAGGUUAAAGGUAGACAGUAAAAAGUGAUUGGUGGGUAUAUGAUAUUCUCUGGGAGGAGAUUUUCACAUUUGAUUUUGAGGAGGAUGAAGAGGAUCAGAAUUGGAGAGCUAAGUGAGGGUGAGGCAGGCAAUCGAGAGGACACCCACACACCUUCUGAGAUGGUGGCUAGAGGAGAUUUGAAGGACCAACAUGUGCAGCAGAGGUAAGGGUGUAGACACUGAGCACUUCCUAAUUUAGGUACUCUGGCCAUCCAGGCUCUGCCAUGUGAAAUGAGGUAGAAAGUUGCCUUUGCAGCUAAAGGUGGUGGUGUUAGUAAAUGAAAGGCUUGGGCCAGCUUGCUGCUGUGUAAAUUUUUUAUACACAGAUUUUUUACAGUCACAUUUCUGGCAGACAUGUAGGUGUGUUUCAACAGUGAACAGAACACCUUUUAGAGAAUAAAUCACCUGGUAGCAUUUAUUUGAAUGUCCCUUGCCCUAAAACAUUUUAACAACCCUGUCAUUUAUUUCUUCCAAAUCAUCUAUCAUUUAUCCUCUCCUGGCUGAGGCCACAUUUAUCCACAGGCCUGGCUAUGAUAAGCCAUCAGAGGUGACAGCACAGAGUUCUGGGACCAGAAGGGUCCAUACUGCCUUGUUUAAGCUGUUUUCCGUUGUUGAACAGGAGAUGCGUGUCACCAGAAUUCCGUGGAUCGUUAACAGGUGAUGGAGAAGUGAGUCUAGAAUUAGAGUGAAAGAUGUGACAGAUGAGAAAGAGGGAGCAGAGGAAGGAAGAGGAAAGACAGAGAAGAGAGGAGGGACAGACAGUGGAAAACGCAAGGAGUUCACAGAAGCAAGGAAGAGAGAAGAGAAAAGGGAAGAAAAAACAGAGAAGGAAGAAGACGGGACAAGAGUGGGGGAAGAAAAAGAUAGGAGGGAG